rnacentral:rRNA from 1 species
UACACUCCUACGGGAGGCAGCAGUGGGGAAUAUUGGACAAUGGGCGCAAGCCUGAUCCAGCCAUGCCGCGUGAGUGAUGAAGGCCCUAGGGUUGUAAAGCUCUUUCACCGGUGAAGAUAAUGACGGUAACCGGAGAAGAAGCCCCGGCUAACUUCGUGCCAGCAGCCGCGGUAAUACGAAGGGGGCUAGCGUUGUUCGGAUUUACUGGGCGUAAAGCGCACGUAGGCGGACUAUUAAGUCAGGGGUGAAAUCCCGGGGCUCAACCCCGGAACUGCCUUUGAUACUGGUAGUCUUGAGUUCGAGAGAGGUGAGUGGAAUUCCGAGUGUAGAGGUGAAAUUCGUAGAUAUGCGGAGGAACACCAGUGGCGAAGGCGGCUCACUGGCUCGAUACUGACGCUGAGGUGCGAAAGCGUGGGGAGCAAACAGGAUUAGAUACCCCUGUAGUCCCAUG